rnacentral:rRNA from 1 species
AUCAUGGCUCAGGAUGAACGCUAGCUACAGGCUUAACACAUGCAAGUCGAGGGGCAGCAGGGAUUUAGCUUGCUAAAUCCGCUGGCGACCGGCGCACGGGUGCGUAACGCGUAUCCAACUUUCCCGUUACUCAGGGAUAGCCUUCCGAAAGGGAGAUUAAUACCUGAUGGUGUUUGAAGUUCGCAUGUUCUUCAAACUAAAGAUUUAUCGGUAACGGAUAGGGAUGCGUGACAUUAGAUAGUAGGCGGGGUAACGGCCCACCUAGUCUACGAUGUCUAGGGGUUCUGAGAGGAAGGUCCCCCACACUGGAACUGAGACACGGUCCAGACUCCUACGGGAGGCAGCAGUGAGGAAUAUUGGUCAAUGGCCGGAAGGCUGAACCAGCCAAGUAGCGUGAAGGAUGAAGGUUCUAUGGAUUGUAAACUUCUUUUAUAUAGGAAUAAAACCUCCCACGUGUGGGAGCUUGUAUGUACUAUAUGAAUAAGCAUCGGCUAACUCCGUG